rnacentral:rRNA from 1 species
GAUGAACGCUAACGGCGUGCCUAACACAUGCAAGUCGAACGGGGUACCCGAAACGGAGACUUCGGUUGAAGUUUUGGACUACCUAGUGGCGGACGGGUGAGUAACGCGUGAGCAAUCUGCCUCACAGAGGGGGAUAACACAGAGAAAUUUGUGCUAAUACCGCAUAAUGUAGUGAAGAGACAUCUCUUUGCUACCAAAGAUUUAUCGCUGUGAGAUGAGCUCGCGUCUGAUUAGCUAGUUGGUGGGGUAACGGCCUACCAAGGCGACGAUCAGUAGCCGGACUGAGAGGUUGAACGGCCACAUUGGGACUGAGACACGGCCCAGACUCCUACGGGAGGCAGCAGUGGGGAAUAUUGCGCAAUGGGGGAAACCCUGACGCAGCAACGCCGCGUGAAGGAAGAAGGCCUUCGGGUUGUAAACUUUUGUCUUUAGGGAAGAUAGUGACGGUACCUAAGGAGGAAGCCACGGCUAACUACGUGCCAGCAGCCGCUGUAACAC